rnacentral:tRNA from 1 species
CUCCCUGUUCAGGGAGUGUAUCUUAGCGGACUCAUAAUCCGUCGGUCGCGGGUUCAAGCCCCGCCUGGGCUACCG